UACGGAGGGUGCAAGCGUUAUCCGGAUUCACUGGGUUUAAAGGGUGCGUAGGCGGGCAGGUAAGUCCGUGGUGAAAUCUCCAAGCUUAACUUGGAAACUGCCGUGGAUACUAUUUGUCUUGAAUAUAGUGGAGGUGAGCGGAAUAUGUCAUGUAGCGGUGAAAUGCUUAGAUAUGACAUAGAACACCCAUUGCGAAGGCAGCUCACUACACAAUCAUUGACGCUGAGGCACGAAAGCGUGGGGAUCAAACAGG
rnacentral:rRNA from 1 species